UACGUAGGUGGCAAGCGUUGUCCGGAAUUAUUGGGCGUAAAGCGCGCGCAGGCGGUUCUUUAAGACUGAUGUGAAAGCCCACGGCUCAACCGUGGAGGGUCAUUGGAAACUGGAGAACUUGAGUACAGAAGAGGAAAGCGGAAUUCCACGUGUAGCGGUGAAAUGCGUAGAGAUGUGGAGGAACACCAGUGGCGAAGGCGGCUUUCUGGUCUGUAACUGACGCUGAGGCGCGAAAGCGUGGGGAGCAAACAGG
rnacentral:rRNA from 1 species